rnacentral:rRNA from 1 species
AUUGAACGCUGGCGGCAGGCCUUACACAUGCAAGUCGAACGAGUGGCGGACGGGUGAGUAAUGUCUGGGAAACUGCCUGAUGGCGGGGGAUAACUACUGGCAACGGUAGCUAAUACCGCAUCCCCUCAGUUGUGCUCAGUCGGGAUUAGCCAGGUGGUGGGGUAACGGCUCACCAAGGCGACGAUCCCUAGCUGGUCUGAGAGGAUGACCAGCCACACUGGAACUGAGAAACGGUCCAGACUCCUAGGGGAGGCAGCAGUGGGGAAUAUUGCACAAUGGGCGCAAGCCUGAUGCAGCCAUGCCGCAUGUAUGAAGAAGGCCUUCGGGUUGUAAAGUACUUUCAGCGGGGAGGCGUUACCCGCAGAAGAAGCACCGGCUAGCUCCGUGCCAGCAGCCACGGUAAUAC